rnacentral:rRNA from 1 species
UACGUAGGGUGCAAGCGUUGUCCGGAAUUAUUGGGCGUAAAGAGUUCGUAGGCGGUCUGUCGCGUCGGCUGUGAAAACCCGGGGCUCAACCCCGGGCCUGCAGUCGAUACGGGCAGACUAGAGUGCGGUAGGGGAGACUGGAAUUCCUGGUGUAGCGGUGAAAUGCGCAGAUAUCAGGAGGAACACCGAUGGCGAAGGCAGGUCUCUGGGCCACUACUGACGCUGAGAAGCGAAAGCAUGGGGAGCGAACAGG